rnacentral:rRNA from 1 species
AUUGAACGCUGGCGGCAUGCUUUACACAUGCAAGUCGAACGGUAACAGGUUAAGCUGACGAGUGGCGAACGGGUGAGUAAUGCAUCGGAACGUGCCCGAUCGUGGGGGAUAACGCAGCGAAAGCUGCGCUAAUACCGCAUACGAUCUGAGGAUGAAAGCGGGGGACCGUAAGGCCUCGCGCGAUCGGAGCGGCCGAUGUCAGCUUAGGUAGUUGGUGGGGUAAAGGCCCACCAAGCCGACGAUCUGUAGCUGGUCUGAGAGGACGACCAGCCACACUGGGACUGAGACACGGCCCAGACUCCUACGGGAGGCAGCAGUGGGGAAUUUUGGACAAUGGGCGAAGGCCUGAUCCAGCAAUGCCGCGUGCAGGAAGAAGGCCUUCGGGUUGUAAACUGCUUUUGUACGGAGCGAAAAGGUCCUUUCUAAUACAAGGGGCUCAUGACGGUACCGUAAGAAUAAGCACCGGCUAACUACGUGCCAGCAGCCGCCGCGGUAA